rnacentral:piRNA from 1 species
AACUGGGCAUCAAGAGUGGAAUGGAA